rnacentral:rRNA from 1 species
UAACGCGAUAAGUAUCCCGCCUGGGAAGUAUGUUCGCAAGAAUGAAACUCAAAGGAAUUGACGGGGGCCCGUACCAGCGGUGGAGCAUGUGGUUUAAUUCGAUGCAACACGAAGAACCUUACCAGGAUUUGACAUAGAGAGAAAUUUUUUGAAAAAAAAAUGUGCUACGGCCUCUUAUACAGGUGGUGCAUGGCUGUCGUCAGCUCGUGUCGUGAGAUGUUGGGUUAAGUCCCGCAACGAGCGUAACCCUUGUUUCUAGUUAAAAUUCUAGAAAGACUGCUGAUUAUAAAUCAGAGGAAGGUGAGGACGACGUCAAGUCAUCAUGCCCCUUAUAUCCUGGGCUACACACGUGCUACAAUGGAUAUGACAAAAAGUUGCCAAUUUGCAAAAAUGAGCGAAUCUUGAAACAUGUCCUUAGUUCAGAUUGUAGGCUGCAACUCGCCUACAUGAAGGUGGAAUCGCUAGUAAUCGCAGGUCAGCUAUACUGCGGUGAAUCCGUUCCCGGGCCUUGUACACACCGCCCGUCACACCAUGGGAGUUGGUUAUACCCGAAGAUAUUUUUCUAACCUUAAUUGGAUGAAAGUAUUUAAGGUAAAAUUGGUGACUAAGGUGAAGUCGUAACAAGGUAACC